rnacentral:lncRNA from 1 species
CCUAUUCCCCUUUGUGGCCGCCACCCCCCUCUCUCUCCCUCUCCUUCUUCCCCAAGUGAUUGCAGCACCACCCCUCAACCCUAGCCCCCCCCUCCUCCUCUCCAUGGUGCAUCCUCCCCGCUUGGUACCCCGUCGUGUGGGUGCGAGUCUUCCAUUGGAGUUUGGAGGGAGGAAGAAGGAAGAAUGGAAGGAGGAAAGGAGGAACCCAAGGUGAUUUUAAGAUCAUUCUUUUUAGUAUUUGUGCUGCAAUCCAAUUGUUUACAUGUUUACCUAUGCGAAUCGGUAUAGGUGCUGUCCAGAUUUUUGUGGGAGAACGAACAGCAGUAGUUCUAGGGAUUUCUGGGAAUUUUUCGUGGGCAAUUAGUGGGGAUCAGUGGGAGAAUCAUAUAGAUCUUUGUCAUACCUUUCCAACGAGUACUUAUGCGCUCGAUUCGGAGUUAUAAUUUAGGAGAUAUCGUUGUUUGAAUCCGGUUAUGUUGCUGUCCAAAAAAAGAUAUUUUCAGGUGAAUGAACAGCAGUAGUAUUAGCAGUUUCUGGGGAUUUUUCGUGGGAAAUUAGUGAUAAUAAAUAUGAGAAUCAUGUAGAUCUUUGUCAUACCUUUCCAACGAGUACUUAUGCGCUCGAUUCGGAGUUAUAUUUUAGGAGAUAUCGUUGUUUGAAUCCGGUUAUGUUGCUGUCCAAAAAAAACAGAUUUUUCAGGUGGGUGAACAGCAGUAGUAUUAGCAGUUUCUGUGAAUUUUUCGUGGGUAAUUAGUGUUAACCAGUAUGAUAAUCAUGUAGGGAUUUGUCUUAUCUUUCUAAUGAGUACUUAUGCGCUUGAUUUGGAAUUAUAUUUUAAAAGAUAUCGCUGUUUGAAUCCGGGUAUGUCGCUGUCCAAAAGACAAAAAACAGAUUACAGGGUUCAUCUUGUGGACUGUUUUGGGCUAAUUAGAUAUUAGAAUUUAAUUAUAAAUUGUAUACAAAACUUGUGGGGCAUUUUAUGUAGAUGCCUCUGGAGUUUUUGUUUGUUACCACUGUUGUCAUAAUUUUAAAGUUAUGAAAUUAUUAAGCAGCGCCGCUGCAGUUUGGUGGGUGUGGGGAGAGAUGUAACCGCGGCGGGGUUUGAGUUUGUGCGUAGGUGCGGCGGGCUUUAUGAGCCUGAUUAUGUGAAAUAGGUGCACUAAGUUGUGUGUCAAAAACAGGUGGUGGACUUCCGGAUCGUACUUAGGGAUUUGCCCGAACUUCCGGUAAAGGCAAGUAAAUAUAGUGGUGGUUGCUACCGUUUGGUUUGCAUCCUAUUCCCUGUCAUUGAGUAUGCAUAAGUUUUUAAUUAUGUUAAUCAUUGAAUUCUAUGAUGAAGUUUAUUUGUUUUUUUGAAUCACGUUAUAUGAAGUGUUGUAGGCAUGACAUGCACAUCGCAUCAUCCAUCUUGCAUUUUGAAGUUAUGUCGUGAUCUUAUGGUCCGACCGUACCGGUACAUUUUUAGCAUCGUACGUUGCCCGAGGAGGGGUACGAUGCGGCUUCAUAUCCUUAGAGGUAUGAAGGCAGAAGUCAUCCUUGCAUUUGCAGACAUUUGCAUUCAUGAGGAAUAUAUGAAGUGUGACAUUACUAUGUUACUAUUGUGGUUUCUACCUACGAGGUGUGGUAACUAGGUGUGUUGUACGUUGUAUACGUGCUGCAUCUUGGUAAUAAGAAGGUUGUGGAAUCAGGUGGUGGUAAAACAAUGUUCUUAUGUGGUUGAAUAGUUUGAUAUUAUUUUACUUGCUGAGAUGUGUCAUCUCACUCUUGCAUUACUCAAUGCAGGUACUUGAUACAUGUUGGGAAUGAGGGGAGUAGCAGCACGUCCACUUACACUCUCACAAUAACGCUGCCCAGGCGCAGCCAUGAUUUAAUUAGAAACUUAUUGUCAAAGGAAGUUUGUUUUUUUUAUAUAGUCGUGCGCACUGGUUAAUUCAGUUCAGGUCGUACGUUUAUCUUCCCUUGCUAGCCGAUUAAUAAUACUUAGUAUGUUUUUGUCAUGAUAUAUGUUUAUACCCUGUUGCCCCCUUAUUUAUGCAAUCUUGCAAAGGGGAUGCUGCCGAAAUUUUAUAUAUGGACGUCAGAAGUGUAGUUCAGUAGCAUUCUGGGUUGUUUGUGGAACCCGGGGUGUUACAGUUGGUAUCAGAGGAUAGGCUUUAGAUUCUACGCAAUUUGAAGAUAAAUUUGACACACUUGCACAUAUAGGAAGGGUAUGGGUUCAUAUAUCUUUUAUAUUAGUUUUUUAUUGUAUAGAUGACUAGAAUUUCCUUACUCCAAAUCCCUUUAUGGUUUGAUGGGGUAUGUCGUUAACGACGUAAUGCUUGAUAUGAUAUGUUACUUCUAUUUAAUAUUGGUUUCUUGAUGUGGUUGUUAUUGAAAUUAUUAUGCAAGUGAAGCUACUAAUGUACUUGUUUUAUAUACAUAUCGUCAUAAUGUUGUUUUUGGAUGCAAUGUUUACUAAUCUCUGAGCUAUUACUAUCAUACAUUUCUGUAUGCUUGACUGUGGAUGUUUUAUUUUCCAAAAGGAUUCUUGGGUUCUAGUACUUAUAGGACCGAUUGUUUAUUGAGCUUGUGUAUAAAGGAUCUAUUCCGACUUGGUGUAGUGUGAAAACACUAUACAAUGUAGUUUUUUGGUGUUGUUGAGUUUGAUUGACUGUUGGGUUACAACCCAACUUAUCAAUGUAAUAUUUCCAUGGGUGCAGUGCUUUACACCUCACCUUUUUUUGGCUAGUGUGGCUACUUGCCAACUUGAUCUUAGAGUACAAUAGGUUUGUCUCCAUAGAGCAAAGGCAAUGUUGUACUGUCUAUGAAAUCUUGAGACUGGUAGAACUCAAGUGAAUUUGUAAGAUGACGUGGAUAGAUAAGUUCAACCAUGUUUACAUGAUAGGUUUUCUUAUUGUGUGCAACCUUAUCUUUAAUAAUAAAUAGGGUGAUUUCAAGUGGAUUUUAUGUCUAUAUUAUAGUUGAAGAGGCAUGCAUGUUUUCCUUCUAUGGUUUGUUUCUAUAGCCAAAAAGGUUAUGCAUAAUUUUUAUUUGUUGGAGGCUAGUCAUGUGGACGAUAUGGACAACCCGUUUUAUAUUGUUUUUAAUCGCCGAUGAUAUAUGGUAGUUUUUUUAUAUGAUUAGUUCUCUAUGCAUGCUUGUUAAAUUAUCAUUUGGACCGCUUUAUCUUAAACAAAGUCAAUGUUUAACUGGAAGUUGCUUAUGUUUGUUAGUCCUCUAUCUCUAUAAUGAUGUGGUUGUUGCAUCAGAUGGAGAUUUUUUUAUAUGAAUGAUGGUUUGAUAGAUCAUGUAUGUCUUCUACUUUGAAGUCAUCCUAUGACAUCACGAGGUACAAAUUGUUCAAGUGCAAUAAUAGGAGGUAUUGUUGUAUGUGAGGUUAAUCAAGGUAGUUUGGUUAGGUGGAUUGUCUUAUUGAAGUCCAAUUACCCCUGUUGAGCAUAGUAUCGUGAUAUUAUUUUAGUGUUGAAAGUAAUAUUUAUGAUGCUUAUGCAUGAGUCUGUGUCAAGAAGUACAUUAGUUUUUCUUGUUGUUAUCCCUCCAUUGCUUUAUGAGUAUUGCAAAUUUUAUCUCUUUUGAGAGGAGAAAAAGAUGUUAUAUGACAUGAGCACCAUUUGCUUCACGUCAACAUAAUAGUUUUGGAAAUUUCUAGUAGUUGGAUUCUAGUGUAAUAACAACCAUGUUUUAUAGUGCUGGAGACGGGUAUGUCAGGUGUUUCAUACAUUGUCGAUACAGGGAUGUUUGACCUUAGUGGCAUUAACAAACGAGGUUGUUGAAUUCAUUGAUUGUUGUGCUUAGUGUUCUAACCUAUUUGGUAGAGCGUUAUUUAAAGACUUUGUGGAGUUACAUCCCAGUGUGGUAGUGGAAAAUCCUAGUGUUGAUUGCACCUGCCAAUGACUUGGGUUUCAUUUUAUAUUGUUUUUUUAUUGUUGAUAAUGUGUUGUUUGGUUUUGGGAGGCAUUUUAAAUUAGUUGGAGGCUGAAUCAGGCUUCACUUAUCUAGAAUGUUUUGUAGUAUGUUCCUUCAUCUUUCCAUAGGAUGUUUAAUCACCAUGUUUGGUCUAAACAUUUGGGAGAUAGGGGUUUCUUAAAACAUCCUUGUUGGUGUCUCUAGCAGAGUGAGUCUUUAAUUUUGUACGGAAGUGUAGACAUUGAAGACGGUAUAAUUUGGUCUUUGUGGAUUAUGAAAGUUUUAGUAAUUUCAUGAUCUUUUCAAAGAGUAUUGGUUUCUAAUUCUCAUUGCAUAUAAUUGGAGUUAGGUUGCUCUGAAGUUGUUGCACUGUUGUGUCUGAACUUUAGGCAUCGUUAUAAUCACCAAUAAAUCGACCGCAUUUUGAUAGUUGCAGAGCCCAAAUUUGCGAAUUCUCUUGAAGCAAAACUUGUAGGUCUUUUCAGUACCUUUUUAAUGGGUAUUUACUUGUAACUGUCUGUUAAAUAGAUUUGGAGAGGUGGUUGCCCGGAUAUAAGUCGAAUCUCUAAUGUGCAGUAUCUCAGGCUGAGUUUAGCUGUAGGUCAUGCAGAGUUGAGGGCUAUAAGGAUAAAUUUGGGUGCAACUUUAUUGCAAAAGUCGUGGACAAUUUUCAAAACUUUUCCAACGCGUGUUCGUUGUAGUUUAAGUUGUGUAUAGCAGGAGUUAUAAGUUUUUGAAUAUUAGUUGUCCAUUGUUUCAAUCCUAUCGGUUUUGCAACAAAAGAGUUGCUUUGUUUUAUCAGUUUGGAAACCAAUUCCAAGACACUCAUUAUAAUAAGAGUUCUAGGGAAUGUUAUAAUCUUUUCAAUGAGUUUAUAUUUGCAAAAUUUUGUUAGCUGCAGGGAGUUAUGAUAUAAUGUAUAGAAUGUGCUUGGAUGAAUAUGUGGGCAGACAUAACAUGUUUAAAUUGAUUCUUGUUUGCAUGAUGUGAGAUUAGGCCUAAAUGGUUUAAAAAGUUAUCAUAUUGCUUCUAUACUUAUAUUUGUUCUAGGUGUCUCGUAAUGAAGAACCUAAAGUUAUUAGUCUUUCAAUGACCACUUAAUCUUAGAAGAGUAAUGAACCUGAUAAAAUCUAUUGCUUGUUGCUGGGAUUGCAUGACCAGUUUUAGUUAUGCAGCUAGUUCAAUGAAGUAAACCAUCUUUUCUGUAGAGAUGUUAUAUAUAAAAGUUGUAGCCAACUUCUUUAUCUUACUUGUGUAAAAAUUUCAUGACCAUAGGUCUAGAAGUUUGGGAGUUAUGAUUUUCUCAAGUCCAGUCUUGAAAUCUGUGCAGAUUCUGUACAGAUUUCGAAGCUGACCUUGUUUGCCCAAUUUAAACUUCGAAUAACUUAUUAUAAAUUAUAAAGAAGUUGUAGUACUCUUCUUAAUCUUUUCAACAAAUUUUGGAUUACCUUUUUUGGAGAUCUAUAAGUUAAGUUACAGCUGUUUUAAGUGUGAUCUCUGAAUCUGUCCAAAUUUGGACAGCAGAGCCUUUCUCGUGUCUUUUGACCUUGAUAUGCAUUGAAUUAACUUGAUAUGUUUACAAAUGAAUUAUAGACAAUUCUACUAGCUUUCUAAAAAGUCUGGGAGCACCUGAAUUGGAUGAUUGAGACUCCAAUUAUGGAUUUCUGAAUUGAGUAGUUGAAUUAUGUCCAAGUCUGGACAGAAUUUACGUUUAGCAUUGUUUGACCUUUCUAAGUGUCAAAUCUUGUUGUGAUGAUAAUACCAAGGGUAUAGUGGACUUUAUAAGCUUUCCAUAAAGUCCUAGUUUACUAAUUUUCGAUGCAUAUUCUGUGAGUUAGGAGCAAAAUAAUUAACCGUUGUGUUGUUGUCUAGAAAUAUGCAAGCAUUAAGUUGCUCUCUUGAAGUUGCUCUUGUUUAGCUAAGUUUUGUUUAGGCUAUAGGAACACUAUAUGAAUUGCAUUAAUAUAUACAUUCAUUGAAGUACUUGCAUGUGUCAAUAUUGAUUUGGUGUCUAGAAAGCUUUGUCCGAGGUAUAAAGGACCGUCUACUAUCUUAGCCGAGGUGGCAGCUGGGCUUAUCACUUGCAAUUGUCGGAAUCUAUGAUCAGAGUACACCAUGUAUUCCAUGUAUUUAUGUUGAGGAAGUAUUUGUGGAAUCCAGACCAUCUAAUCGAGCUAGAGCCGAUUCCCGUGUAGCAAGACCAGACUCUUGAGUGACGUCUGCUGCGUAUCUUAGAAUCCUAGGAACUUGAGGAGCUGAUGCGGCAGAAGUACCCAAACUUUUUCGUUAUGUGUGAGUUUUGUUGAUUCAUUAAUCUUUUUUUUGUCAUUCCGAUAGAAGCGUCGGAAUUCGAGGUCGAAUUCUUUUUAAGGAGGGUAGAGUGUGAUACCCAAUUUCCAAAAGGAAGAGAAAUUGAAGAUUAUUCUUUUUUUCCUUGUUUUCUCUUCCGGGUCCUGUGCUACAGGGGUUUGGAACUUUUAGGAAGCAUUCACUAGUAAAACAGUAGAAUUCUUGUUGGACUGGUGCCCUGGGAUCGGGAACGGACGUGAGAGCGAGUUUGGGCCGUGGAUCUCGAUCCGGCGGUGGGGAGCCCAUUAGUUCUCCCCCCUUAACCCUAGCCGCCCCCUCCCCUAUUCCCCUUUGGUUGCAGCCGCCCCCCCUCCCUAUUCCCCUUUGUGGCCGCCACCCCCCUCUCUCUCCCUCUCCUUCUUCCCCAAGUGAUUGCAGCACCACCCCUCAACCCUAGCCCCCCCCUCCUCUCCAUGGUGCAUCCUCCCCGCUUGGUACCCCGUCGUGUGGGUGCGAGUCUUCCAUUGGAGUUUGGAGGGAGGAAGAAGGAAGAAUGGAAGGAGGAAAGGAGGAACCCAAGGUGAUUUUAAGAUCAUUCUUUUUAGUAUUUGUGCUGCAAUCCAAUUGUUUACAUGUUUACCUAUGCGAAUCGGUAUAGGUGCUGUCCAGAUUUUUGUGGGAGGACGAACAACAGUAGUUCUAGGGAUUUCUGGGAAUUUUUCGUGGGCAAUUAGUGGGGAUCAGUGGGAGAAUCAUAUAGAUCUUUGUCAUACCUUUCCAACGAGUACUUAUGCGCUCGAUUCGGAGUUAUAAUUUAGGAGAUAUCGUUGUUUGAAUCCGGUUAUGUUGCUGUCCAAAAAAACAUAUUUUCAGGUGAAUGAACAGCAGUAGUAUUAGCAGUUUCUGGGGAUUUUUCGUGGGAAAUUAGUGAUAAUAAAUAUGAGAAUCAUGUAGAUCUUUGUCAUACCUUUCCAACGAGUACUUAUGCGCUCGUUUCGGAGUUAUAUUUUAGGAGAUAUCGUUGUUUGAAUCCGGUUAUGUUGCUGUCCAAAAAAAACAGAUUUUUCAGGUGGGUGAACAGCAGUAGUAUUAGCAGUUUCUGUGAAUUUUUCGUGGGUAAUUAGUGUUAACCAGUAUGAUAAUCAUGUAGGGCUUUGUCUUAUCUUUCUAAUGAGUACUUAUGCGCUUGAUUUGGAAUUAUAUUUUAAAAGAUAUCGCUGUUUGAAUCCGGGUAUGUCGCUGUCCAAAAGACAAAAAACAGAUUACAGGGUUCAUCUUGUGGACUGUUUUGGGCUAAUUAGAUGUUAGAAUUUAAUUAUAAAUUGUAUACAAAACUUGUGGAGAAUUUUAUGUAGAUGCCUCUGGAGUUUUUGUUUGUUACCACUGUUGUCAUAAUUUUAAAGUUAUGAAAUUAUUAAGCAGCGCCGCUGCAGUUUGGUGGGUGUGGGGAGAGAUGUAACCGCGGCGGGGUUUGAGUUUGUGCGUAGGUGCGGCGGGGUUUAUGAGCCUGAUUAUGUGAAAUAGGUGCACUAAGUUGUUUGUCAAAAACAGGUGGUGGACUUCCGGAUCGUACUUAGGGAUUUGCCCGAACUUCCGGUAAAGGCAAGUAAAUAUAGUGGUGGUUGCUACCGUUUGGUUUGCAUCCUAUUCCCUGUCAUUGAGUAUGCAUAAGUUUUUAAUUAUGUUAAUCAUUGAAUUCUAUGAUGAAGUUUAUUUGUUUGGAAGUAUUAAUUCUCAAUUGUCUAAUAUUGUGGAUGAUCAUAAUUUGGUUAUGAUAUAUGUGGUUGAUUCCAUCUUGGAUGAAGUUGAAGUAUCUUUUUGAAUCACGUUAUAUGAAGUGUUGUAGGCAUGACAUGCACAUCGCAUCAUCCAUCUUGCAUUUUGAAGUUAUGUCGUGAUCUUAUGGUCCGACCGUACCGGUACAUUUUUAGCAUCGUACGUUGCCCGAGGAGGGGUACGAUGCGGCUUCAUAUCCUUAGAGGUAUGAAGGCAGAAGUCAUCCUUGCAUUUGCAGACAUUUGCAUUCAUGAGGAAUAUAUGAAGUGUGACAUUACUAUGUUACUAUUGUGGUUUCUACCUGCGAGGUGUGGUAACUAGGUAUGUUGUACGUUGUAUACGUGCUGCAUCUUGGUAAUAAGAAGGUUGUGGAAUCAGGUGGUGGUAAAACAAUGUUCUUAUGUGGUUGAAUAGUUUGAUAUUAUUUUACUUGCUGAGAUGUGUCAUCUCACUCUUGCAUUACUCAAUGCAGGUACUUGAUACAUGUUGGGAAUAAGGGGAGUAGCAGCACGUCCACUUACACUCUCACAAUAACGCUGCCCAGGCGCAGCCAUGAUUUAAUUAGAAACUUAUUGUCAAAGGAAGUUUGUUUUUUUAUAUAGUCGUGCGCACUGGUUAAUUCAGUUGAGGUCGUACGUUUAUCUUCCCUUGCUAGCCGAUUAAUAAUACUUAGUAUGUUUUUGUCAUGAUAUAUAUUUAUACCCUGUUGCCCCCUUAUUUAUGCAAUCUUGCAAAGGGGAUGCUGCCGAAAUUUUAUAUAUGGACGUCAGAAGUGUAGUUCAGUAGCAUUCUGGGUUGUUUGUGGAACCCGGGGUGUUACAGGUGGUGUGUGCGAUACUCGAUGUGCUAUGCCGCUACAAG